rnacentral:rRNA from 1 species
AUACGGAGGGUGCGAGCGUUAAUCGGAAUUACUGGGCGUAAAGCGUGCGUAGGCGGUUUGCUAAGUCAGAUGUGAAAGCCCCGGGCUUAACCUGGGAACUGCAUUUGAUACUGGCAGACUAGAGUAUGAUAGAGGGGGGUAGAAUUCCUGGUGUAGCGGUGAAAUGCGUAGAUAUCAGGAGGAAUACCAGUGGCGAAGGCGGCCCCCUGGAUCAAUACUGACGCUGAGGUACGAAAGCGUGGGGAGCAAACAGGAUUAGAAACCCGAGUAGUCC